CUCCCCGGCGGGGAAUCAAACCCCGGUCGCCCGCCUGACAGGCGGGAAUACUAACCACUAUACUACCGAGGA
rnacentral:tRNA from 1 species